rnacentral:rRNA from 1 species
UACGUAGGGGGCAAGCGUUGUCCGGAAUCAUUGGGCGUAAAGAGCGUGUAGGCGGCCAGAUAAGUCCGCUGUGAAAUCUCGAGGCUCAACUUCGAGCUGUCGGUGGAAACUGUCUGGCUAGAGUCCGGAAGAGGAGAAUGGAAUUCCUGGUGUAGCGGUGAAAUGCGCAGAUAUCAGGAAGAACACCUGUGGUGUAGACAGCUUACUGGACCAUUUCUGACGCUGAGACACGAAAGCGUGGGUAGCAAACAGG